rnacentral:lncRNA from 1 species
AUGGUCCUUGUCUUCCAGGCUGAUGUGUGUGACUCAGGUCACUGAAGGACAGUGUGACGAGUGCCUCAGAGCAGACACUACCUCUUUGACCAUGUUUCUCACGGACAAUCUGCUGGGAGGGGAGCAGCUGCCAUCUCUUGAGGACACUCCAGCUGCCCGCGUGGAGAGGUCCACCUGUGAAGAACUGGAGCCCCUGCCAACAUCCAGGAAGAGCCAGGCUGGAGGGGCUUCUCCUGGCCCGGCCAGCCUUCAGGGGAUUGCUGUGACCCAAAGAGACACCUGGGUCUAGAAACACCCAGCAAAGUCCCUCCCGCAGUCCUAACUCUGUGAGACAAACCUUUAUUGUUGUUGAGGCUUCCAAGCUUCGGAGUAAUCUGACACAGCAAUGGACAGAAAAUAGUCCCCGCCGGCUCCUUAUGCCACUCCUCCUUGGCGUGUGCCAGGAUUCCCGAGAGUAUGGUCUUCUCCUGAGGUCCCUUCACUGACUUGUAUGAGGCUGUUUCUUCUCUUGUCAGUCUCUUUUGGGUAAGGAUGAGCUCCUGAGGCCAACAUCUGGCUCGUCCUUGGGACCUUCCUGUUUAUUCAGGGGCGUGGUUGACAGUAGCAGCCAGCACUGACGUGGUUCUGGCUCAGGCCAGGCACAUUCUCAGACUUUACACACUUCUUCCCACACACAUCUGUGAGGUAGGCCCUGCCAUCUAUGAAACUGAGGCACAGAGGAGUCCAGUCACGUGUCUCAGGACACACAGUGAGCAAGGAGCAGGGCUGGUGACCUCCAACAGCUGGGCUCCAGAGUUCCUGCUAUGGUCACCCUCUGCCGACUGAUCCCAACAGUGUUUCUUGUUAAGGGAAUAAAAGAUGUCAGGCAGGUGAGGGGCUCAAGAGCUGAGAAAAAAGAUUUAUCAGAAGAAGAAAAGUAAAUCAGGGAAGG